UUGUGACCUCUCCACUGUGGCUCUAUCGUGCCCUCAUUGUACAUGCUGUGUGAAUUUGUCACAUACACAGCGCAUGCAAUGUGGACAUAAUGGAGCUCAAUGGCCACCUGAGGAUAG
rnacentral:precursor_RNA from 12 species